AACUUUUGUUAAACAUGGCCAAAGCCUGAUCUCGUCUAAUCUCUGAAGCUAAGCCGGGCUGGGCCUGGUUAGGACUUGGAUGGGAGACUGUAGGGAAUACCAGGUCCCACAGUGA
rnacentral:rRNA from 1 species